AGCCCCUCUAACAGCUCCUGAGGAAAAUCAUACUGGUAGCCUUCAAGUGGCCAUGGUGGGAGCAUUGACCCAGGGAAAUCCACAUUUCCCAACACAUGCUGGAUACCUGAGGACUCCAGAGCUACUAUCUGCUCAUAUCUGCUCAACAUUAAAAAAAAAAAAAAAACCUCACAUUGUUAAGUGAAAAGGUUUAUUGGCAGAUUUGCUUAACUCAAUUUGCAAAGAUACCUUAGACCAGGGGUCGGCAAACUACAUUCCACAGAACGAAGCUGCCCAUUACUUGUCUUUUGUUUGUUUGUUUGUUUUGUUUUGUUUUGUUUUGAGAUGAAGUCUCGCUCUUGUUGCCCGGGCUGGAGUGCAAUGGUGUGAUCUCAGCUCACUGCAACCUCAACCUCCCUGGUUCAAGCAAUUCCCCUGCCUGAGCCUCCCAAGUAGCUGGGAUUACAGGCACAUGCCACCAUGCCCAACUGAUGUUUUUGUAUUUUUAGUAGAGAUGGGGUUUCACCAUGUUGGCCAGACUGGUCUCGAACUCCUGACCUCAGGUGAUCCACUGCCUCAGCCUCCCAAAGUGCUGGGAUUACAGGCGUGAUCCUAAGUACAGUUUUAUAGGACAACCAUGCUCAUUCAUUUCCGUAUCGUCCACGGCUGCUCUACAGCAGCAGAGUUUAGUGGUCAGGACAGAACCGGCACAACCUGCACAACCUGCACAACUUUCAAAGGCUGAAUAUUUACUCUCCGGCUCUUUAGAGAAAGUUUGCAACUCCUACUUUAGACUGAUGCUUCUCCAAUGCUAACGCGCCAGUCACCAAAUCACCGGCAUCUGGUCCCAGCCUCCAACCAUAAACCACAGCUGAAUGGAAACUUGGUAG
rnacentral:lncRNA from 10 species